CCUUAGUUACCAGCACGUUAUGGUGGGCACUCUAAGGAGACUGCCGGGUGACAAACCGGAGGAAGGUGGGGAUGACGUCAAGUCAUCAUGGCCCUUACGGCCUGGGCUACACACGUGCUACAAUGGUCGGUACAAAGGGUUGCCAAGCCGCGAGGUGGAGCUAAUCCCAUAAACCGAUCGUAGUCCGGAUCGCAGUCUGCAACUCGACUGCGUGAAGUCGGAAUCGCUAGUAAUCGUGAAUCAGAAUGUCACGGUGAAUACGUUCCCGGGCCUU
rnacentral:rRNA from 1 species